GGCCACUGCUAUGGGGGUCCGACUAAGCCAUGCGAGUCAUGGGGCGCCUUGCGCGCACCGGCGGACGGCUCAGUAACACGUCGGUAACCUACCCUCGGGAGGGGGAUAACCCCGGGAAACUGGGGCUAAUCCCCCAUAGGCCUGAGGUACUGGAAGGUCCUCAGGCCGAAAGGGGCUUCGGCCCGCCCGAGGAUGGGCCGGCGGCCGAUUAGGUAGUUGGUGGGGUAACGGCCCACCAAGCCGAAGAUCGGUACGGGCCAUGAGAGUGGGAGCCCGGAGAUGGACACUGAGACACGGGUCCAGGCCCUACGGGGCGCAGCAGGCGCGAAACCUCCGCAAUGCGGGCAACCGCGACGGGGGGACCCCCAGUGCCGUGGCAUCGCCACGGCUUUUCCGGAGUGUAAAAAGCUCCGGGAAUAAGGGCUGGGCAAGGCCGGUGGCAGCCGCCGCGGUAAUACCGGCGGCCCGAGUGGUGGCCGCUAUUAUUGGGCCUAAAGCGUCCGUAGCCGGGCCUGUAAGUCCCUGGCGAAAUCCCACGGCUCAACCGUGGGGCUUGCUGGGGAUACUGCAGGCCUUGGGACCGGGAGAGGCCGGGGGUACCCCUGGGGUAGGGGUGAAAUCCUAUAAUCCCAGGGGGACCGCCAGUGGCGAAGGCGCCCGGCUGGAACGGAUCCGACGGUGAGGGACGAAGGCCAGGGGAGCGAACCGGAUUAGAUACCCGGGUAGUCCUGGCUGUAAAGGAUGCGGGCUAGGUGUCGGGCGAGCUUCGAGCUCGCCCGGUGCCGAAGGGAAGCCGUUAAGCCCGCCGCCUGGGGAGUACGGCCGCAAGGCUGAAACUUAAAGGAAUUGGCGGGGGAGCACUACAAGGGGUGGAGCGUGCGGUUUAAUUGGAUUCAACGCCGGGAACCUCACCGGGGGCGACGGCAGGAUGAAGGCCAGGCUGAAGGUCUUGCCGGACACGCCGAGAGGAGGUGCAUGGCCGCCGUCAGCUCGUACCGUGAGGCGUCCACUUAAGUGUGGUAACGAGCGAGACCCGCGCCCCCAGUUGCCAGUCCUCCCCGUUGGGGAGGAGGCACUCUGGGGGGACCGCCGGCGAUAAGCCGGAGGAAGGAGCGGGCGACGGUAGGU
rnacentral:rRNA from 2 species